rnacentral:rRNA from 1 species
GAUGAACGCUAGCGGCAGGCCUAAUACAUGCAAGUCGGACGGGAUUUGGGAGCUUGCUCCCAAUGAGAGUGGCGCACGGGUGCGUAACACGUAUGUAACUACCUUAAUCAGGGGGAUAGCCUCUCGAAAGAGAGAUUAACACCGCAUAACAUAUUUUUAUGGCUUCGUAGAAAUAUCAAAUAUUUAUAGGAUUAAGAUGGGCAUGCGGAACAUUAGCUAGUUGGUAAGGUAACGGCUUACCAAGGCUACGAUGUUUAGGGGAUCUGAGAGGAUGACCCCCCACACUGGUAAUGAGACACGGACCAGACUCCUACGGGAGGCAGCAGUAAGGAAUAUUGGUCAAUGGGCGCAAGCCUGAACCAGCCAUGCCGCGUGCAGGAAGACGGCCCUAUGGGUUGUAAACUGCUUUUGUACCGGAAUAAACCCUUUUACGUGUAAAAGGCUGAAUGUACGGUAAGAAUAAGGAUCGGCUAACUCCGUGCCAGCAGCCGCAGUAA